rnacentral:rRNA from 1 species
UACAGAGGUCUCAAGCGUUGUUCGGGAUUCAUUGGGCGUAAAGGGUGCGUAGGCGGCGCGGUAAGUCGGGUGUGAAAUCUCGGAGCUUAACUCCGAAACUGCAUUCGAUACUGCCGUGCUUGAGGACUGGAGAGGAGACUGGAAUUUACGGUGUAGCGGUGAAAUGCGUAGAUAUCGUAAGGAAGACCAGUGGCGAAGGCGGGUCUCUGGACAGUUCCUGACGCUGAGGCACGAAAGGUCAAGGGGAGCAAACGGGG